rnacentral:rRNA from 1 species
UACAGAGACUGCAAGCGUUAUUCGGAUUCACUGGGCGUAAAGGGUGCGUAGGCGGUCGGGUAAGUCUGAUGUGAAAUCUCACAGCUUAACUGCGAAACUGCAUUGGAUACUAUCCGGCUCGAGGAAUGGAGGGGAGACUGGAAUACUUGGUGUAGCAGUGAAAUGCGUAGAUAUCAAGUGGAACACCAGUGGCGAAGGCGAGUCUCUGGACAUUUUCCUGACGCUGAGGCACGAAAGCCAGGGGAGCAAACGGG